CAGAGUUGUUCUCUGAUGGACCUGUCAAGCGCUGCACAAUUUCUCUGAAAGUGUUGGUGUCGGUUUGGACAAAUGUAGUGACAGGCUUGCAGUUGAUCAGAAGAUAAAAAAUAUUCAAACAUGAAAGGUGACUUUGCAGAAUGUAGUCCCAUCUAAAGAACCAAGGAACGUCAGAUUCAUGUAGGAGUUCAGAAAUGAGAGUGAUGGGAUUGGAAGGAAUCACAGAGGAUGAAGAACAGGACCAAAGACAUACCUGAAGAGCAAGCCGAGGCAGCAAGUGAAGGUGAAUGCGGAUUUGAAUGCAAAUGCUGGUUUUUGAAGAAACUGGAAAAUAAAACAGAAGGGAGGAAAUAUUAUAGAAAGAGAGAGGGAGAGAGAGAGGGAGAACUAAAAGAAGAUAUAAAGACUGUUGUUUGGUCUAAUGGUCACAGCUCAGAACUUGUUCAUAUACCAGAAAAGAGAAGAAAAUUGAAGAGGAGCAAAAUCAGGAGAAGAAUAUGGAGAAGAAAAAGACUAUUCUAUCCUUUUUGUUCUUAACCGUUUUCGGGAAUGGAGAAAGGAAGUUAAAGAAGGAAGAAAUGCAUGCCGUUUCGGUUAAGGAGAUAGCGAGAGAGAGACGUCACAGCAACCAACCCCUC